UACAGAGGGUGCGAGCGUUAAUCGGAAUUACUGGGCGUAAAGCGUGCGUAGACGGUUAUUUAAGUCGGAUGUGAAAGCCCCGGGCUCAACCUGGGAAUUGCAUUCGAGACUGAAUAGCUAGGGUGCGGUAGAGGGAAGCGGAAUUUCCGGUGUAGUGGUGAAAUGCGUAGAGAUCGGGAGGAACACCUGUGGCGAAGGCGGCCCCCUGGGCCGGCCCUGACACUGAGACGCGAAGGCGUGGGGAGCGAACGGG
rnacentral:rRNA from 1 species